CGUGGCUACAGAACAUUGGGAAGAGCAUGAGCUGCCAGGAAUUCAUAACCAACCUGAAUGGGCUGAGGGAUGGCGGGAACUUCCCCAAGGAGCUGCUGAAGGCCCUCUACUGGUCUAUCCGCAGCGAGAAGCUCGAGUGGGCCGUGGAUGAAGAAGACACAGCCAGACCUGAGAAGGCCCAGCCGUCCCUGCCAGCUGGCAAGAUGAGCAAGCCCUUCCUUCAGCUGGCUCAGGAUCCCACAGUGCCCACCUACAAGCAGGGCAUUCUGGCUCGGAAAAUGCAUCAAGAUGCAGACGGCAAGAAGAGUGAGUGUCUGCUGCCCACAAACAGGGUGGCGUGCUGGGAGCAGCCCUGCUCAGGGACCUGUGCCGAUGCAGGCACAGGUGUGCAGAGAGACGGCCUGCGUUGAGGACAGGCAGCCAGCCCAUGUUCCUUCCUCAGUGCGUACUGAACAGUGACCAUGUGCUGGAUGCUGUGUGAGGCACUAGAGGGUAGGUAGGAGAACCCAGACAAAACAGGCCUAGUUAUUCCUGGGCCCCAGAGUCCCUGUAGUAAGGUAGAGAUUAGACAAGUGUGUCAAUGUCUGCGAAAAAAAUGUAGCAAGA
rnacentral:sRNA from 1 species